AGUUGGAGAUGGAUGACGUGGAGCCAAUGUUGCCCCACUUUCAUUCACCUUCCCAUUCUCGGUGGCAUUCUUUUCUGGCUCCUCUACCUGCGAAUGAGCUUUGCUGCUGUGCUCCUCAACUCCAUGAACUUCUCCUGCAGACUCAGGUUCCACACCAUUGGACAUCUCCGUUUUGGUUACUCCCUCGGGGAUACUUUCCACUUUAUCCUGUUUCUCACCAUCAGCCCCAGGUUCUGCAGCCACUAAAUCUGGUUGUUCUUCAAUUCCAGUAACCUUUUUUUCUUCCACUUUUGGAGCUUCUUCAGCACCAUUAGCUUUGUCAGGUUCAUCAUUUCUACCCUUGUCAACAAUAAUGUCCUCAGUAGCAGUGUGAAUCU
rnacentral:lncRNA from 1 species